GUUCACACUUGUAUACUUAUUAAGCAAUCAAUUAAGUGUUGCAUUUUUGCUCUGCAGUUUAUAAUGACAUUUCACUGUUUUGUAUUUCACCUCAAUAACAUACAUAACAAAGUAAAGAGAGGGCCUUCGUGCAUUUUCUCUCCAUCUUAAACAUUUUUUACAGGCCAAGGGAGCUGCAGUAACAUCCUUUUACUAAUCAAGGGCUACCGAUUGUAGACUUUGAUAAGAAAUGAGAAAACUAAUGAUCCACACUGAAAAGCGGUGUGAUUACAGUAAACUAUGAGUUACUGAUUUUUUUUGCAACUAAAUUUAUUUACUUUUUGUCCCUGUCUUUUCUCUCCUGAACUCAACGCUAUGUCUACUGCUGGCCCUGUUCACUGUUGGCGACUCAGCUGUAAGUUCACAAAUAAAGUAACUUUAAAAUAUAUUUUUACUGUUACUUUUCACAACACAUUAUCUAAAAACCUGACCUAAAUAACACUUUAUUUUAACUAAUGCAGAAACAAAUGGAAAUAAUUUUGCUGGCUGAUCACUGUUGGAAUUACAAUGCAGUGAGAUGUGCUGGUUUUGUACAAUUAAAAUAAAAAUCUCUUGUCACUGUUUUUCCAUUUUCCUUCUUGCCAACUCUAUCCUGUCUCCAAGUGCAGACCGCUUUGUGGCGACUCGACGUAAGUUCACACAGGAAUGACAUUUUCAUGAAUAAUACAGUGUGCCUUUAUUCAACACAUUAUGGACCCCUCAUCAUGUACUAACUUGACGAUUUUUUCCCUUUGAUUAUGUAAUAUUCACAGUUGGACAUGAACAGCUUGAAUGUUAUAUGCAAUACACUUAUUUGCAUUUUAUUUCCAAUCAUUGGAAAGCAAUUUGUUACUAUUAAAUUGUGGAGUUGUAAUUUUUUUAAUGAUGAAUAUCCAAAUAGUUACUUAUCAUUGUGAUUCCUUACGUUGUGAUUACUUCGUUGGAAAACUUAAAACACAGUAAAGGAAAUUACAUUUCCUAAAAUACAUUAUUAUUUUAUUAGCAUAGUAAUCCAUUGUUAUUAUUGCUUAACAGGACAUGGUUAUGAACAUUAUAAAGGGAACUUUAGAUGAUUUCUAAGAGUCUAAAAUUUUUUUGUAAAAAAAAAUUCUUCUCUUUUUGUAAAAUACUUUGAGGUCCUAAAUUUAAAAAGCUGGCUAUGUGGUUGGAUUCAAGUUGGACUCAGUGUAGGAUGUGGUAGAGAGAUGUACGCUGAGAAGGUGGAGACUAUUUUAAAGAACAUGGAUUACCCACUUCAUAACACCUUGAUGGACCAAAGGGCCUAAGGUGGUGGACGGCUCCUCUCUCUUCGCUGCAGGACAAAAAGAUUCAGAAGGUCUUUUGUACCCACAGCCAUCAGACUUUACAAUUCUUUUAAAAAUAGUAGAUGACUUUUGGAGAUAUGACAAAUGAGACUACAAUCAAAUUUCCCUUCAGGGAAAUAAUAAAUAAAUAAUAAUAAUAAUAAAUAAUAAUUUCCCUUCAGGGAAAUAAUAAAGUUCUCCUUACCUUAAAUACAUUUUUAAUAAAAUACGAGUGUAUGAGCACUUUGGAUUUUUAGUUCUUAUUAAUUUGAUUGAUGGGUUAUCAAACAGGGCAAUUGCCAAUUCCAGGGUUUGACUCAACUUGGCUUUUGAUAGAUGUAUAGUUAAGGAUAGCCAUAUGGUGGAUUAAGUAAAAGCACAUAAUAAUGACAUUAGCUUUGGGUGGAUGUUGGUUCAUUUUGUUUCUCUUAUAAAAAAUGAUUCAUGUUUGUUUUCAUUGUGUCUUACAGGUAUCGUGUCCAGUCUCCCCACUCUCCCCUAUCUUUUUGGCCGCUCUGACUUUCCUGUCUCCUCCACCUCUCUGUCUUAUUGAAAAGCCACUCUAUCUUGUGUCCCCCUUUUCUCUAUCCCUCUAGCUAAAUUUUGGACGCUCUGACUUUCCUGUCUCCUCUACCGCUCUAUCUAAUUGAAAAGCCACUCUAUCUUGUGUCCCCCUUUUCUCUAUCCCUCUGACUAAGUUUGGUUACUCUGACUUUCCUGUCUCCUCUACCGCUCUAUCUGAUUGAUCAGCUUUUCAGAAACCAUUGUGACAAGCCUUUCAGAAACCAUUGUGACAAGCUUUUCAGAAACCAGUGUACCAGAAACCUCUGAGAAACCAGUGUACCAGAAACCUCUGAGAAACCAGUGUACCAGAAACCUCUGAGAAACCAGUGUACUAGAAACCUUUCAGAAACCAGUGUACCAGAAACCUCUGAGAAACCAGUGUACCAGAAACCUCUGAGAAACCAGUGUACCAGAAACCUCUGAGAAACCUAUUGAAGCAAGCUACCUUUUUUUGAGCAACCAUUGAAACAACCUACCUUUGAGAAACCUAUUGAAACAAGCUACCUUAUUUUGAGAAACCAAACUUUUGAAAAGCUGUACAUUUAAUACAACCACUGUUUUGAAAAAUCCCCAAUUUUGCAAAAGUCUGACUGUUGUUCUAGGUCCUCCUUUCCUGUCUGUGGAUCCAGAGUUUCACCGGAAGUGUCAUCAGCACAACCACAUCUGCAUCCCUGAUUUUGAAAGAAAAAAAAAAAGUUCCAUAUAGAAUAUUUGAGUUAGAUAUUAUUUCAAGCACAAAGCGCUAAGAUUUAAAAAUUGUUGUUGAUUUGUGUUUUUUCUGAAAACAUUUAUAUAGUCUUGUGUAGGAUUUCCUUAUAAAACAUUUGAUAAACUAUUGUGGUAUACACAUAGUUAUAAAUUAGAAUUUUGGAGACUAUAAGAGCUGUUAAAUAACGUCCUCUUGAAGAAAUAAAGCAUUUUUGUCUUUACUGGUGCUUAUCAGUAAUUUAAUUGUUGCAUAAACACAUUGUUG
rnacentral:lncRNA from 1 species